UACGGAGGGUGCAAGCGUUGUCCGGAUUUAUUGGGUUUAAAGGGUGCGUAGGCGGACUUUCAAGUCAGUGGUGAAAUCCUGCGGCUUAACCGUAGAAUUGCCAUUGAUACUGGGAGUCUUGAGUACAGUUGAGGUGGUUGGAAUACGUAGUGUAGCGGUGAAAUGCAUAGAUAUUACGUAGAACACCAAUUGCGAAGGCAGAUCACUAAACUGGAACUGACGCUGAGGCACGAAAGCGUGGGGAGCGAACAGG
rnacentral:rRNA from 1 species